CAGAGGUCUCAAGCGUUGUUCGGAUUCAUUGGGCGUAAAGGGUGCGUAGGCGGCGCGGUAAGUCGGUGUGAAAUCUCGGAGCUUAACUCCGAAACUGCAUUCGAUACUGCCGUGCUUGAGGACUGGAGAGGAGACUGGAAUUUACGGUGUAGCGGUGAAAUGCGUAGAUAUCGUAAGGAAGACCAGUGGCGAAGGCGGGUCUCUGGACAGUUCCUGACGCUGAGGCACGAAGGUCAGGGGAGCAAACGGGAUUAGAUACCCCGGUAGUCCUGACAGUAAACGGUGCACGUUUGGUGUGGGAGGAUUCGACCCCUUCUGCGCCGGAGCUAACGCGUUAAACGUGCCGCCUGGGGAGUACGGUCGCAAGAUUA
rnacentral:rRNA from 1 species